AAGAAAGUAAGAAAGGGCGCAUGGCGGAUGCCUUGGCUCACGGAGGCGACGAAGGACGUGAUAAGCUGCGAUAAGCCGCGGUUAGGCGCAAAUGGCCCUUGACCCGCGGAUUUCCGAAUGGGACAACCCACCGCUUCGGCGGUAUCCCUGUCAUGCAGGGAGGCAAACGGGGGGAACUGAAACAUCUUAGUACCCCCAGGAAGAGAAAACAACAGUGAUUCCCCCAGUAGUGGCGAGCGAACGGGGAACAGCCCAAACCGCCGCUGUCGCAAGGCAGCUGCGGGGUAGUAGGACCACGUCGUUGCGUCAUGAUCGCGAGCAGAAGG
rnacentral:rRNA from 1 species